CAAGCUGCCCGUGAGUCUGUUCCUCUUCUUGGACUCGGAGUUUCCUGAGGUCCUGGGUCUUAGUUCCCUUUACAAGCCCAGAGCACGGCACUGAGGGCUGUUCAGAGGCAGUAGCAUCAGCGAUGGCCACACGGAUGGGGCUGGUGAUCUGUGUGGGGAGAAGACAGCUGAACUCUCCACGUUCCUCAGAACCUCAAAGGGAAUCUUCAUGAUCCAGGGAUUGAACCUCCGUCUCCUGCAUUGACAGACAGAUUCUUUACCACUGAGCCACCAGGGAAGCCCUAAGGAUCUUGAGAGGACCUUACAUCCAAAGACUGUGUCCUUAUAAAAG